GAAUUACUGUGGUUUACUAAAGCGACCUAUAAAGAAGACACUAUGAAGAAACUGAUGUUGAUUGUCUUAAUACUGUUCAUAACUAUAGAUAGUGUCUAUCCUUGUAGUUGUAUUCCGGAUGAGGAUCCAGUUUGUUCCACAAAGGGUGAAACUUUCCAAAAUGAGUGUGCCCUAGAGUGUGCCCGUCAAGUUUUAGCCUGCCGUCGUAAAUGUCCAUGUUAAUCUUAACCAUUGUGAAAGUAUUUACGAAUGAGACAGAACACCAAGUGAGAAUGAAUAAAAAAUUUGAUACAUAUU